rnacentral:misc_RNA from 1 species
ACAUUGAAUGGGUAAUAAUUGAUUUACAUAGUAUAUGUCUCUACGUCUAGCAAUUAUUAGCUACGCAUUGCAACGCAUGCAAAUCCACAGCGGAACGGAAAUAGAAGAAACUCCAUUACAUUAUAAGCGACUCGUUAGAGUAAACACCUAGAGAGUUUUCCGUGCAAAGUAGUGGAGUUAAGUCACUUAGCGACUUAUUUAAUUACUGACUCGGAACAUGUAAAGCUUCCGAAAGAAGAAUUACAGUAAGCUCAGUCAUUGCCAGCUACACAAUUGUCAUUCAAAAAAACGAUACGUCGAAUUGCGGUGAGUUUCUUCUUGUAAUAACAUAUAAUCUAUGACUGCAAUAAAAAUAUACUUCCAUUAUUAUUACAAUUACUAGAAACUCGCCGCAAUUGAACAUACUAACG